AUCCAUUCCCCCCUCCCCUCACCGUGCGCUGCGCCGCUCCCUCUCCUCCCGAGCACCCCGCGCCUGCACCUCCAAAGAUCCGGUAGCGGCGACGGAUCUCCACCUCCCCUGGCGACUACGGAUCUCCAACCCGCAUCCCCAGGCGGCCGAGUUGGGCUGCUGCGUGUGCAGAGCAUCCCGGACGCGCGGCCGGGGGCAGGAGCGCCGGCGUUGAUUCGUCCCCUAUCUCCACGGCCGCUCCCGCCGCCGCUGCUCUCACAUCCGCCUCGCCGAUGCCGAUGCCGUCCCACCGGCCCACGCUGGCCGAACGCCGGCGGGAGGACACGCACCCAUGCGCGCUCGCGACCUCGUCCAACUCCGGCGUUCCUGCCGACUUCCCACCGCCCCUCAGCACCGCGGACCGUCGGCUUCCGCCUCCGCCUCCUCCGCGGGCCGCGGCCCCCAUCCUACGCCGCGCUAUCGGGGCCCCACCUCCUCCGUCGUGCCGCCCGCCCGCGAGCCGCGCGAGUCUCCUGACCGACGCGAGGCGUGCCCCCCUCCUCCGCCGCGCCGCCAGCAAGCUAAGUCGACCCCGCAGGAACGAACCCUAGUUAGCCAUUCCCCUCUUCGGAGUCGGAGCUGCUGGAUCCCCACCCCACCCUCUCUCCGCCUCCCUCACGGGUCCCGGCGCAAGGCACGGAGGAGGCGACGGCCGCGGCCACAGAGGCAACACUGGGUGAGAGAACGCUCCGCCGGAGGGGAGCCAAAGGGAAUGUCAGUGCCAGGAUAUCGACGAGAAGCGACUGCCCAGACAUGGAGCUACACCAAUUCCAAUUGGCAUCAAGGUAGCUUCAUGCGGUGGCCAGCUCCCUCUCUCCUCUUCCCACUUCUUUGCUAAUCUUUGCUAAGUGUGACCAAUUCUGUUCAUCAAUUAUCUGCAUUGUUUUAUUUGGUUUGCUAUUGCCAACAAUUAACAAGUAGUAUUUGUUCAUUACUUGAGUUCAUGCUUUGCACCUCUUGAAAUUGGUAUUGGAACUGCAGUUAGAGUUUUAUAUCAUUCCUGUAACUGAAGUGUAUAAUCUGCCAUAAUAAAGUUGUGACAUCCAGGUGCCUAAAAGUUACAUAAGUAUAUUUCUCAUCUGUGCAUAAGUUUUUACCAUUCCGGGAUGCCAAUGUAUUCAGAAAUGAAGCUAGCUUUCUUUGUCUACAUACCUCUGGAACCCCAAAAUAAAGGUAAGAAAGCAUAUUUGUCCUUUCACCUUUUUCUUCUUUAGCAAACCAUACCUUCGUUUGGGUUUGGGUACGCAUCUGCUUUAACUUAAUGCUUAUGGAAGGAAUUAAUGUUGUAUAUGACACCUUUUUUGGGCCCAUAUGAUGCAGAAUGAACUGAACAUCAAGCAGAGGUAAGGUUACUGUGCUUCAGAUUUGAUAGAAUCGUAUACAUUAUCUAUCUGCAUGUCCAUGGUCUGGGUAUAUGUUCAGUCCUUCUAUUCUAUUGGUAACAUGUGUUCUUUAUUUUUAGUGUGGCAACAGAGCUUCAAAACUUUCAGUGUCAAAACAAAGAUUCAGGCUAAGGUACAGGACACCAAGACCAAGAUUAAAAACGAAAGCUGCAGCCAGAAGAAAAACAGAGGUGCAUGGGCAGUUGAUCUGGAUAAAGAUAACCAUGUUCUCGACGAGUGUUCAGGAUGAAAUGGAACAAGGAACAAGUAAUGCGAAGACAUGGGAAAUUCGAGGCAAAUAUUGGAACCUUUGCUAUUUUUGUUUCUAGUGUAUUGCUUUUGAUGCAAGAUGACAGCAUGUAAUUUGCUAUUUUGAUGUGCUUCUCAAUGUAAAUAUGAGAUAUUCUAUUUGAUUUGAUGUUGUGGUAAAUGGGCGGAAAAUUUUAGUAUA